GUGGAUUCUUUUGGCAAAUCAUGCAGAGCCGGUUCAAGGCCUUAUCCAGCGUUUCUUACGUCGUCGCUUGAUUCAAAGUCAACUGCUGGCUAAAUCACGUGACGGAGCAUUGGAGCGAGUUGUCGAGUGGAUCCCUCGUUGUUGGGCCCACAUGAACAAAUUUCUGGAGACUCACAAUUCGGCUGACGUGACGAUUAGCCCGCGUUGGUUCCUACAGGUCCCAGCUGAUUCGACGUGCUCACAAAUUUGGUUCACCGAUCUUUGGAAUUAUACUUUGGGGCCUUACCUGCUGCACGCAGCUAAAGAAGGGCUUCAGCUCUAUGGAAAACGAGCGCCAUGGGAAGAUCCUACGUCAUAUCCACUUAUCCUUGGGCUCAAGGCAGUGCCUGUGAUGCUCUUAUGCGACUUCGACCUGAAGAUGUUGGUUACGACUCAGCAACAAGAUCAUAUUCUACGAGUACUUCAAACCAGGAUCGAGAUCCAUUGUGCAAAAAUGUUGAACCGAAGAGGCCACAUAUUUGGAUUUGUAUCUGACCUGGGUACACACUCUUUCUUGAUUGUGUGCAAACUGACUAGCCUUAAUUGGACCAGCUAAGGUUACCGGGUCGACGAUUCGCAAGGGUUAACUGAAUAACCACGGCUGACGACACUUCGCCGGAGAUACCGAUGUUUUGUGGAUUAUUCCUUUAUCAACGCACAAGAACCAGCAACAAAAAUGUUUUGCUCGAUUGCCUUGAACCCCACUUGAAACGCUUGAACCACUCUCGAUAGUUGUAAAAAAAGCCUAUUCUUUCUUUACAGUUAUAAAGGAUAUUUCUGGAUUGUGAACUUUCAUGCCAUUAGUUACCACUUCACAUAUGAAAGCAAUCACAGCCUAUGGCACCUAGUAGAGUAAUAACCACUUUAUAAGUGAACAACUUUAUGGAAUUCUCAUUUUUGCUGUCUGCUUCAAAUUGGAUUUUGGAAUCAGUGACAUGUCGGCGAUGAUUGAAGAACAAGUUUCAAAGUGAAUUUGAGCAUUUAAAGUUUUUCAAUCUCCACUAAGUUCCAUUUUUUUUCCAUUGAAUCUGCUGCUGAAAGAGGGAUGAAUGCUUACAAAAAUGUUUUUCUGUGUGUCUUUAUCUGGCAAACUAUAGUCAGUAGAACUAUUGUACAUAACACACACUGCAAAUGCACCAACAGCCAGCUAGAGGGAGAUGGUGGUUUGCAAAGACUGCCUUGUUGAAAGUUCAGUUUCUAAAAUUUGGUCAACAUGUUUUUGGUUGAUAUCCUGAAGCAAGUUAAUAUCCUGAAGCAAAUUCAUUCAAGAACAGUCACAAACAAUUGCGCUGUUUUCAACAGUGGAACAAGCAGCCAACACGUAUCCGGGAGCAGUAGUUUAAUAGGGUCCUCCAAUAAAAGCUGGUAUCGAAUUCAUGCGUUCGAGUUUCAACUCCUCUUCCCAGCGCACAUGGAUUGACUGAUGGGCUGAAUUUGACUUGUUGACAUCCAGGUAACUGGGUAAGACACAAGGCAUAGUUCCUUUCAUCCUAUUUUCUUCUCAGCUCUCCUUUUCGUAAAUGGUGAAUUCUUGUUGAAAAACCACUUACUCAUAAACCUCAUCUGAACUAUUAGAAUUUGUUGUUGUCAAUGUCAUUUUGAUUUUUGAAAAAACCGCCAAUUCUUACUUUUCCGGGCACCUAGUAGAGGAAUUCCGUACUGCUUUAUGGAAUCCCGUUUCCCUGUCGUCUGCAGGUCUGCUUCAUUCGUCUCGUGGUUGACUGACUUGUGAGCUCGUGACGUUGUGACUUAUGACUCUUGAAGCUUAUAAAGAUUGGGAAACCAUGCUGUCUACCACAUCAUCCACCACAUCCAGAAGCUGAGUAACAUGUACAGUUUUCUUAAUGGCACCUUUUAAAUAUGGAACUUCAGCCAUCCCAUUGUGCAGGCUUUAUGGAAUUGUCGUUUAUCUUAAGCUGUUAACAUAAGUAACAUAUGCACUAAUUGAAGGCUGGUAAGUGGUGAGGUGACAAUCUUAUCCACUUUAGAUUUGAAAUUUAAUGUGUUGUUAAUCUAGAAGUAAAACAUCCAAAGUUUUCAGGAACCAAAAGAUUUCAUUGUCUAGUUUUUUUUGUUGUUGGGAUUUCAUUAAGUUAUCUCAGCUCUUUCCUUUAAUCAUUUAGUUGAGGAUUUUGUAAAUGGAAAUUUGUUGUACACAAGAUAGGUGGUUGCUUAAACAACAUUUGUCUCACUGUAGAGUACUCUAUAAAGGUUGAAAGAAUUUGUACUUGAAUCUUAAAUGAGUUACCCAAUUUCAUGCAAAUUUUUGUGUCAACAAUACCAAGCAGAUUUAACUAUUUGAACCCAUAUAAUUUAGCAAUAUAUAUAUUUUUUUCAUAUA
rnacentral:lncRNA from 1 species